rnacentral:lncRNA from 1 species
UGUUUGCUGCGUGCGUUCGUCGCUUGGCCCGCUUGCUGUUCUCGCAAAAGCGCGGGGCAGAGGAGAGAAAGAAGCCUCUCGUUCUCCGAGAGAGACGCAGAGGCCGCAGUCAGGGCCUGGAUAUACUCGGAGGCUCGGCUUCUCCUCUGGGUGCUCCUUGUUGCUUCCAGGGAAAGUUUAGUCUGGAUCUGAGGCCUCGUGGCGCUCUUCCUGGUUUUUCAAUUUUGGUGGAGAAAUAGAGUUUGUGGUGAAGUAAAUGGCACCGCUGGAAUCCAAACCCUAAUGAAGCAGAGUCUCUUCUUAACCACUGUCUAUACUAAAGGGUGCAGACAACAGGAAAGCAACAACUCUGGUUUGGUCACCGUGGUGGUCUUGCCCGGCACAUGGUGGGAGUCCAGCCAGAGCUGAUGGGAGCACCACAGGCAUCUCCCCUGAUGCAGGGUAAAUUGCAGAAGCCGUGGUACCAGCCCGCAUCCAUGACCCCACAGAUAUUCCCCUUCUCCAAGUGGACUGACCCAGGCCUUUUACAAACACAGAAGGAUCUUGUGCAAGAUGAAUUUUAGUACUAGCUACUAAAAGAUCUCUUCACACAAAAGGCAAUAUUCCUGAAUUUGUAUUGGUCCAGGCAUUCGAGAAUCAAGGUGCAUCCGUAGGAAGAAAGAGAGAGAGACCAGUUCUGAAGAGUAUCUGCUGGUGAAUGUUACUUAAAUCUGAACUUUGAGUCAUGAAAAAUAGAAAGAUGUACGUCGUUAUGGUACUGUUUCCAGAUGUUUUCCUGUUUCCAUGGAAGCAGAGUUCAUUUGGCUGGGAUGUUCUGAGCUUUUGCUUCCAGACCUUUGAUGCCGGGGCAUGUUGUCUUCAGCAGAGGCUCCAGCCAAGUCAGAUGCCCACGUGUCUCUGCUUGGUGAAGCCGAAUGCCUCGCCAUGACUCUGGAGAAGCUCUUUAAGUGUCUGAUGCAGUGGGAAGAGCUGAGCCACAGCUUGAUACCAGUGUUGGGCCCCAGAGUCCCCAUAUGCUGCCUCUCAAGGGUGGUAUUCAAAGUGGGUUGUUGUUCUUCUCAUUCAGAUUUCCCCAGUUUUACUUGUAAUGUGUGUGUGUGUGUGUGUGUGUGUGUGUGUGUGUGUUUGUAUUUAGUUCUUUGACGUUUUAUCACAUGUGCAGAUUAAUGUAUCUGCUACAGUCAAGAUAUAGAACACCUGAAUCCUUUGUGUUGCUCUUUGGUACCCACCUCCUCCCCAUCCCUCCACCCCAACACCUGGCAACCACUGAGCUAGUCUCCAUACUGCAAAUUUUGUGAUAUCAUUUGUUACAUAGAUGGAAUUGCCUAUUGCAUAGCUUUGGCGGAAUGGCUUUUCAUUUUCCCCCUCAAAACAUAUUUCUUUACAAUUACUACAAGCUGUUGCAUGUAUCAGUAGUUUUCUUUCUUUCUUUCUUUCUUGCUUGCUUCCUUCCUUCCUUCCUUUCUUUUUUUUUUUGGCUGAACCAGUAGUGGCAGGCAGAAGUUCUGGGACCAGGGAUUGAACCCAAGCCAUAGCAGUAACCAAAGCCACAGCAGUGACAAUGCUGUACCCUCAACUCUCUGAGCCAGCAGGACUCUCCUCAAAGUGUGUUUUUUUUUUUUUCCUUUCUUUUUAGGGCCACACCCACAGCAUAUGGAAGUUCCUGGGCUAGGGGUCAAAUUGGAGCUGCAGCUGCUGGGUUACACCACAGCCACGGCAAUGUGGGAUCCAAGCUGUGUCUGCAACCUGCACCAUGACUCACAACAACACCCAGAUCCUUAACGCACUAAAUAAGUGCAGGGAUCGAACCCUUAUCCUCAUGGAUACUAGUUGGGUUCAUAAUCACUGAGCCACAAUGGGAAGCCCCCAAAGUGGGGUUUUGGAAGAUAGUAGGAUUAUUCUAGGCUCAGAUUAAAGUCAGGUGGGUAAGCAUCAUUGCACAGGGAGGAAAAAGUGUGAGCCAGAUGGUGAAGGCAGGAAAGUUAGAGCCAUCUUUGGGAAGGAGAUGGCGAUAUUGUAGGAACCAGCUUGGGGUUUGUUUGGGAGGGACAGCAGCAGGCUCUCUCCCUGCCUCCUGUCACUUCCCUAUGUCCUUCCUGUGAUUUGGGGGCCUUUGUGGUGCAUGGCCACCUGUAUGCAGGCAGCACCAGCAUCUUGUCCCUCUUGCUCUGUCUCAGGGCUCUCUCCUGGGUCCAGGAGAGCACUCAGCCUGCUUGCAGGAGCAUCUCAGCCCGCAGGCAGCCCCCAGCCCAGGGGAGGAAGGUUGGUGGACCACACCAUGACAUGUGGUCUACACACGUCCUUUGAGGGGUGAGCCCGGUGCCCACAGUGGUAACCAGUGCGAUAACGCUGUUUAACCCUUUCGAUACCCUCACACUUGCCUGGGCUCAUCUUGCAAAGAAGUCACCUUCAUGUGAUUUAUGAGCAUGGAGGAAACUACUGAAGGGUACGCGGUUGUUGGGAUGAUUGCUUGGUGCAGCGUAGGGAAGGUAAGCAGGAGAGGGAAUGGGCAUAAAAUAAACUCAAACCAAACAAAACUACCCAUUAGACAUAGCAUGCUGAGUUUUUUUGUUUGUUUGUUUUUGUUUUUGCCUUUUUCUUUUUGCCUUUUAGGGCUGCACUUGGAGCAUAUGGAUGUUCCCAGACUAGGAGUUGAACCAGAGCUAUAGCUGUUGGCCUACGCUGCAGCCACAGCAAUGCCAGAUCCGAGCUGAGUCUGUGACCCGCACCACAGCUCAUGGCAAUGCUGGAUCUCCAAUCCAGUGAGCGAAGCCAGGGAUCGAACCUGCAUCCCCAUGGAUACUAGUUGAAUUCAUUUCUGCUGGACCGCGACGGGAACUCCCACAUGCUGGGUUCUUUGAUAGACAAUCUGUAAGGAAAAGAGAAAGGUAGAGAGGAAACCUAUGCCGAGAAGAAAUGAAGACUUCUCAAAAAACUUUUUAAUUAAAAAAAAUUAUUGAUUUAUUUAUUUUUGGCCAUGCCUGAGGCACGUGGAAGGUCUUGGGCCAGGGAUUGAACCUUGCACCACAGCAGUGACAACAUCAGAUUCUUAACUGCUAGGCCACCAGGGAACUCUCAAAAUUUUUUUUUAAAUGGACCAGACCAAGCUAUAGUGUUUAGGAUUUCAUAGUUGAGUGAUAAGACCAUAAAGAAACACAAAGAAGGGAGUAUCACUGAAGUCACAAUAGUGAUUACUUUUUUUAAAGGGAGACAGGUAGUGGCCAUCAUGGGACAUUUGAUGGAAAUUUCUAAGCUGCAAAGUUCUAUUUUUUUGAUCUGGGUGGUAGUUAUAAUAAUUCAUUGAAGAGUACAUUUAUUUUGAAUAGUUUUUCUGCAUUUGUAUUCUAUUUUACUUUGCAAAAGAAAGAUAAAAAACCCUGGUAACUAUGAUAUAAACAAUCUGUGCAUUUAUGCAAAAUUACCUGUAUGGGUAUAGAAAAUUACCCUGGCAGCUAAAGAGAAUGUUCCAGAAUUAGGUUGAGGACUCUCCCUUUUCAAAUCCAUGAUGCCUCCAAGCAUCAGGCUGGGCAGCUUUCCUACCUAACUUUGUUCAGACAGAUGAAGGCAGGAAGGAUUAGUUCUGAUCAUGCCAGCUGGAUGCAUGAGUAACAUUCUGCCUGGUAAUUAUUUUUGACAUUUGACAGUUCUAGGCGCAACCUUUUGCAGCUCUGAAAUGUUGGCAGUGCCUUUAUUUUUGAAGGGUUCAUAUUUUCCUAUAAGUAACCAAGUAUUCACAAGAUACUUCUUUGGGUGCCUUGUUUCAAAUUAGGGUCGAGAGUUUUGGAAAGCCACAAAUCCAGAGGGACGCUUGAAGUUUCAGGAAAGUACCCAUCACUUAGCAACCACCACCACUACAACAAAAGUGUGCCUUUUAAGUGAUUUUUCAAAGCUUGUCCCUAUGUAUAGAAUGGGGGCUUAUAAUCUUUUUUUUCUUUUUCUUUUUCUUUCUUUCUUUUUUUUUGGGGGGGGCAUGCUUAUGGCUUGAGGAAGUGCUUGGGCUAGGGAUUGGAACUUUGCCACAGCAGUGACAAUGCCAGGUCCUUCACCGCUAGGCCACCAGGGAACUUUACAAUCUUUCAGAGUAGAUACCAGGUAACUCCCAGGUAUCUCCUCCACCUAUCCAUCACAAUGCUGAAAUUCCAAAUCUUAUAUUAUUCCUUUGGCUAGUGAGUUUAGAUGUGUAAAUAUCCCUAGGAGACACAACCAGGUUAAGAGGGUUAUGAGACAUUAGUGCUAUGGUGAAAAGAAUGCACUGGAGAAAGGGAUUCUGAUUUGGAGAGAAUAGGGAAGGGACAUUGUAAAGGACGGGGAAUUUGCUCAUAAGAAAAAGCAGGCAAAGAAAAGGCACUGAGUGUCUGCUGCAGUGACAGGUAUGGAGAUUUUAUCAAUCAAAUUCUUUUGGUU